rnacentral:lncRNA from 1 species
UUUUUUUAUUUGAAAACAACUUUUUACUUGUGAAUAUUUUUUAACAAUUUUCCUCCAUACUACCUCCGGCGUGUCCACCUUUGAAAACAUUAAGCAUGGCAUCUUCUUUUGCGUGUCAAUUUUCUCCCGAUUUGUCUCCCUCCAUAACCCCAAAAUUUUCUCCGUCUCCCGGUCUUUUUCUUUCUCUCAGUAAUCUCCCCCAUAAUAAUCCCACAGGUUUUCUUCCUAUGGAGAGACGGAUUAACUCCAUA